CCCUCGCCCUCUGUUGCCAUCAGGUAAUGCUGAGCACUCUGAGGGGACUGUCGGUGACAAACCGGAGGAAGGUGGGGAUGACGUCAAGUCCUCAUGGCCUUUACGCCCAGGGCUACACACGUGCUACAAUGGCUGAUACAAAGGGUCGCGAUACCGUGAGGUGGAGCUAAUCCCAUAAAGUCAGCCCCAGUUCGGAUUGGAGUCUGCAACCCGACUCCAUGAAGGUGGAAUCGCUAGUAAUCGCGGAUCAGCAGGCCGCGGUGAAUACGUUCCCGGGCCUUGNACACA
rnacentral:rRNA from 1 species